UAAAUAAUAUACUUUGUUCUGAUCAUUAACAAUCAAAGUAUAAUUUAAAAUUUAAACAUAGAAGAAUUUACUUGCGCAGUGUGGGCUUUCACGGUGAAAAUCAAGCUGGCAGAAUGGGAAACAAAUUGCUCUCACUGUGUAAUCAGGCUUCUGAUCACUUGAGCAGGCUGAGAUAAGCGAGAUUUUGUGGCAAUGAUUAAAUAAACUCUGUCUAAACAGCUUUAAUUGUAGUAUUGCUGGAAAAUCAGCAGGCUGUGCUCGUUGAUCGGCCACAAGGCAAGUUCGGCCAUGGCAUUUAAAGUCCGUAUCAUGCUGUAGGAGAUCUGAGACAUCGUUCUGGCUGAAUCCUCCAAAAGUCCCUUGAUGCCUGGAGAAAGAAAAGCAUGAAAGAAAGCAAAGCAUGGUGAGCUGGUGCUUUUUGGGGGCCUUCUCGUUACAAAUGGGAGAAGCUGCUAACUGGGUUAAAAUUGGGAUGUUCAGCAUGUGAAACCUAACUGGGAAUGUUUCCUUUCUCUGGGAAAAAAA